rnacentral:RNase_P_RNA from 1 species
GAGCGCAAAAGGAAGCGGCCGCUUGCCUAUGGGCAAGAGGAAAGUCCGGGCUCAUCCGGAAAAAAUGCCGGGUAACACCCGGGCGGAGGGGCGCCGCAGGCUCCGGCUCAAGGGCCCUUCCGACAGAGAGCGCAACAGAAAACGUACCGCCUACGUCUGGGGAGAAGACCUUUGGUUUUCGGCCCAGGCCGGUGAGGGUGAAAAGGCAGGGUAAGAGCCUACCGCGCGUCCGGUAACGGACGCGGCAGUGCAAGCCUCAUUUUGAGCAAGGUUAAGCAGUAACCGCGAUUCCGGUAUGGAACCGGAGUCAGGGUCAAGGCCCGGGCAAUGGUUCCACGGUUACGGGUAAACCGCAUGAGCCGUCCGGCAACGGGCGGCCCAGAUAGAUGGCCGCCCACGUCCCGGGGCAAUGCCCCGGGGUGUGACAGAACCCGGCUUACCUUUUGUGCUUUUUU